GACGAACGCUGGCGGCGUGCUUAACACAUGCAAGUCGAACGGAAAGGCCCCUUUGGUGGUACUCGAGUGGCGAACGGGUGAGUAACACGUGAGUAACCUGCCCUUGACUUCGGGAUAACUUCAGGAAACUGGGGCUAUAGCUGAUAAGGAAUCCUAUCUUGAUGGGGGUGGUUGGAAAGCUUCGGGGGUUUUGGAUGGACUCGCUCGUUAUCAGCUUGUUGGUGGGGUAGUGUGUUACCAAGGCUUUGAGGGGUAGCCGGCCUGAGAGGGCGACCGGCCACAUUGGGACUGAGAUACGGCCCAGACUCCUACGGGAGGCAGCAGUGGGGAAUAUUGCACAAUGGGCGGAAGCCUGAUGCAGCAACGCCGCGUGCGGGAUGACGGCCUUCGGGUUGUAAACCGCUUUCAGCAGGGGCGAAGCUUGUGGUGACGGUACCUGCAGAAGAAGCACCGGCUAACUACGUG
rnacentral:rRNA from 1 species